rnacentral:lncRNA from 1 species
UAUGCAGUUUAUCAAUUUAUUGCAAAGUAUCAGGAAAUCUCUGAAUGGUUUGACCCGCUUUACAUGCUUCCUUGAAUUCUGAAAUGAAAGCAAGAGAGCAUUUGCUUAAAUCAACAAUAUAAAUCACCAGUUUAAAGGUUAACACUUGAUUGUGCAGCACAAGCAGCAGACGUUUAUCGACCCGGUUCAAGGACUUCUGGUUUUCUGAACACAUAACGCUGCAAUAGAUUGCUUUGCACUAGGCUUCUGCAGGGAUACAGACAACACAGGGGGCAGGAUGGGUGGCCUCAGGGCAUCACUCGCUUGGAGCAGGGUGGAGGGCAGCUCCCCACAUACUGGCAUGCCACUAGCCCACUGGGAGACACUCGUAGGCUGUCACCCAUCCUGUCCUGGCAGCCUUUUCAGUGCUCAGAACAUUGGCGUUGACACCAGCGCAGUUGUGUUUCACAUGGGGCAGCUGCUGCAAAGCUCUUCUUCCAGCCAGGAGCACCAAAGCCAACCCCCUGGCACCUGGACCGAGACCCUGUUCAACUAACAGAAAAUCACAGGGAAGAUGGAAGUACUGUGCUGGUGGAGCAAUAAAUAAGGUCCUUAUCUACUGUGGCAAGAAAAAGGCAGGCUUAGGGGGCAAGGGGGGCAAGGGAGAAGCAAAAAGCAUACCUAGGGAAGGAAGAAAACCUGAAAAUAAGUCAUUGAAUGGGUUGGGUUGGAAGGGACCUUAAAGCUCACCUAAUUCCAAGCCCCCACCAUGGGCAGGGACAGCUACCACCAGACCAGGUUGCUCCAACACUCCUAAUUAGCAGUUUUAGUUUGACAAUUAGAUUCAAAAUCCCCAAAAUCAGUUAAGACAUCAGCUUAGACACCAGCCAAACCAACAGCUACUCUCUGCUCCUGCAAAAUAUUGGUGAACACCUUCUCCUUGCAGCCAUGGUACCUGCACCAGGGAUGCCCAGGGAAGGACCCAGCUGUGCUUGGUGCUGCUCUGCAGGCAGCACCAGAAGGAAGUUCCUUCAGAAAUCAGUUUGGGAACCAAAGGGAACAAUUCUGAGCCAGCAUGUCAGACCGACCCAUGAAAAAAACAGAAAGGGUGAUUGCUGCAGCUGGGCUAUGUUGUCAUACACUGCUUACAUUUGUUUUAAUUUUAAACUGAGAGUCAGUCCAAGGUUCGUUACACAAACAUAUGGCACCGGUAUUACAUUCUACCUUGUAUUUAUAGAAAGUCC